UGAACCUGAGAGUUUGAUCCUGGCUCAGAGCGAACGCUGGCGGCAUGCUUAACACAUGCAAGUCGCACGAACCUUUCGGGGUUAGUGGCGGACGGGUGAGUAACGCGUAGGGAUCUGUCCAUGGGUGGGGGAUAACUUUGGGAAACUGAAGCUAAUACCGCAU
rnacentral:rRNA from 1 species